AUGACUCUCGGCAACGGAUAUCUCGGCUCUCGCAUCGAUGAAGAACGCAGCGAAAUGCGAUACUUGGUGUGAAUUGCAGAAUCCCGCGAACCAUCGAGUCUUUGAACGCAAGUUGCGCCCGAAGCCUUUCGGCCGAGGGCACGUCUGCCUGGGUGUCACGC
rnacentral:rRNA from 1 species